rnacentral:rRNA from 1 species
AUUCAACGCUGGCGGAAUGCUUUACACAUGCAGGUCGAGCGGCAGCGCGGCCUUCGGGCUGGCGGCGAGCGGCGAACGGGUGAGUAAUGCAUCGGAACAUGCCCAGUCGUGGGGGAUAACACUUCGAAAGAAGUGCUAAUACCGCAUACGUCCUGAGGGGGAAAGCGGGGGAUCGCAAGACCUCGCGCGAUUGGAGUGGCCGAUGUCAGAUUAGCUAGUUGGUGGGGUAAAGGCCUACCAAGGCGACGAUCUGUAGCUGGUCUGAGAGGAUGAUCAGCCACACUGGGACUGAGACACGGCCCAGACUCCUACGGGAGGCAGCAGUGGGGAAUUUUGGACAAUGGGGGCAACCCUGAUCCAGCCAUUCCGCGUGAGUGAAGAAGGCCUUCGGGUUGUAAAGCUCUUUCGGCAGGAACGAAACGGUGGGCUCUAACAUAGUCCGCUAAUGACGGUACCUGAAGAAGAAGCACCGGCUAACUACGUG